rnacentral:rRNA from 1 species
AGCGAACGCUGGCGGCAGGCUUAACACAUGCCAGUCAAGCGGGCACUUUCGGGUGUCAGCGGCGGACGGGUGCGUAACGCGUGGGAACGUGCCCUCUGGUUCGGAAUAACUCAGGGAAACUUGAGCUAAUACCGGAUACGCCCUUUUGGGGAAAGGCUUGCUGCCGGAGGAUCGGCCCGCGUCUGAUUAGCUAGUUGGUGAGGUAACGGCUCACCAAGGCGACGAUCAGUAGCUGGUCUGAGAGGAUGAUCAGCCACACUGGGACUGAGACACGGCCCAGACUCCUACGGGAGGCAGCAGUGGGGAAUAUUGGACAAUGGGCGCAAGCCUGAUCCAGCCAUGCCGCGUGAGUGAUGAAGGCCUUAGGGUUGUAAAGCUCUUUUAUCCGGGACGAUAAUGACGGUACCGGAGGAAUAAGCCCCGGCUAACUUCGUG